rnacentral:tRNA from 1 species
GCCUGGGUGGCUCAGUCGGUUGAGCAUCCGACUUCAACUCAGGUCACCAUCUCGCGGUCCGUGAGUUCGAGCCCCGCGUCGGGCU